rnacentral:rRNA from 1 species
GAUGAACGCUGGCGGCGUGCCUAAUACAUGCAAGUCGAGCGAACAGAUAAGGAGCUUGCUCCUUUGACGUUAGCGGCGGACGGGUGAGUAACACGUGGAUAACCUACCUAUAAGACUGGGAUAACUUCGGGAAACCGGAGCUAAUACCGGAUAACAUAUUGAACCGCAUGGUUCAAUAGUGAAAGGCGGCUUUGCUGUCACUUAUAGAUGGAUCCGCGCCGUAUUAGCUAGUUGGUAAGGUAACGGCUUACCAAGGCAACGAUACGUAGCCGACCUGAGAGGGUGAUCGGCCACACUGGAACUGAGACACGGUCCAGACUCCUACGGGAGGCAGCAGUAGGGAAUCUUCCGCAAUGGGCGAAAGCCUGACGGAGCAACGCCGCGUGAGUGAUGAAGGUCUUCGGAUCGUAAAACUCUGUUAUCAGGGAAGAACAAAUGUGUAAGUAACUGUGCACAUCUUGACGGUACCUGAUCAGAAAGCCACGGCUAACUACGUGCCAGCAGCCGCGGUAAUACGUAGGCGGCAAGCGUUAUCCGGAAUUAUUGGGCGUAAAGCGCGCGUAGGCGGUUUUUUAAGUCUGAUGUGAAAGCCCACGGCUCAACCGUGGAGGGUCAUUGGAAACUGGAAAACUUGAGUGCAGAGAGAAAAGUGGAAUUCCAUGUGUAGCGGUGAAAUGCGCAGAGAUAUGGAGGAACACCAGUGGCGAAGGCGACUUUCUGGUCUGUAACUGACGCUGAUGUGCGAAAGCGUGGGGAUCAAACAGGAUUAGAUACCCUGGUAGUCCACGCCGUAAACGAUGAGUGCUAAGUGUUAGGGGGUUUCCGCCCCUUAGUGCUGCAGCUAACGCAUUAAGCACUCCGCCUGGGGAGUACGACCGCAAGGUUGAAACUCAAAGGAAUUGACGGGGACCCGCACAAGCGGUGGAGCAUGUGGUUUAAUUCGAAGCAACGCGAAGAACCUUACCAAAUCUUGACAUCCUUUGACCGCUCUAGAGAUAGAGUCUUCCCCUUCGGGGGACAAAGUGACAGGUGGUGCAUGGUUGUCGUCAGCUCGUGUCGUGAGAUGUUGGGUUAAGUCCCGCAACGAGCGCAACCCUUAAGCUUAGUUGCCAUCAUUAAGUUGGGCACUCUAAGUUGACUGCCGGUGACAAACCGGAGGAGGGUGGGGAUGACGUCAAAUCAUCAUGCCCCUUAUGAUUUGGGCUACACACGUGCUACAAUGGACAAUACAAAGGGCAGCUAAACCGCGAGGUCAAGCAAAUCCCAUAAAGUUGUUCUCAGUUCGGAUUGUAGUCUGCAACUCGACUACAUGAAGCUGGAAUCGCUAGUAAUCGUAGAUCAGCAUGCUACGGUGAAUACGUUCCCGGGUCU